rnacentral:lncRNA from 1 species
GUAACCGAUAAUUUAUUAGGUAGUUUUCUCAACAACCUUAUAUAUCAAGAUCCUGCUGGAUAUUCUUCUAAUUAUAAUAAUAACAAAAAUGUUGUUAAUGAAAAUAAUAUUGAAAAUGAGACUAAACAAGUCAAUUCUAUUGUUGGUUCUACCAACGAAGAUGAUAAAACACCUAUAAUAAAUUCAAAAACUGCUUUACAAGAAAAUAUUCAAAGAACGAGUACAUCUCCUACAAAUUUCCAAAAUAUUCCAUAUAAUGAGCAACGGC